rnacentral:rRNA from 1 species
AAUCAACGCUGGCGGCGUGCCUCAGACAUGCAAGUCGAACGAUUAAAGCUCUCUUCGGAGAGUGUAUAGAGUGGCGCACGGGUGAGUAACACGUAAGUAAUCUACCUUUGAGUGGGAAUAACAAUCGGAAACGAUUGCUAAUACCGCAUAAUGCAGCGGCAUCGCAAGAUGACAGUUGUUAAAGGAGCAAUCCGCUUAAAGAGGAGCUUGCGGCAGAUUAGCUAGUUGGUAAGGUAAUGGCUUACCAAGGCUACGAUCUGUAACCGGUCUAAGAGGACGGUCGGUCACACUGACACUGAAUAACGGGUCAGACUCCUACGGGAGGCAGCAGUCGGGAAUUUUGGGCAAUGGGCGAAAGCCUGACCCAGCAACGCCGCGUGAAGGAUGAAGUAUUUCGGUAUGUAAACUUCGAAAGAAUAGAAGAAUCAAUGACGGUACUAUUUAUAAGGUCCGGCUAACUACGUGCCAGCCGCCGCCGUAAC